GAGACGGGUCUCUCUGAGAUCCGUCAUCGGAAUGAGAACAAUCUAAACCCUUUAACGAGGACCUAGCGGAGGGCAAGUCUGGUGCCAGCAGCCGCGGUAAUUCCAGCUCCGCCAGUGUAUAUCUAUGCUGCUGCGGUUAAAAAGCUCGUAGUUGGAUCUGCGUGCCAGCGACCGGUCCGCCUAUGUGGUGUGCACUGGAUUGCGGCACUGAAUGGCUGGUUUUCUCUUGAUGCCCUUAACCGGGUGUCCUGAGUGGCUAGCAAGUUUACUUUGAAAAAAUUAGAGUGCUCAAGACAAGCGACUUGCUUGAAUAGUGGUGCAUGGAAUAAUAGAAUAGGACCUUGGUUCUAUUUUGUUGGUUUUCGGAACACGAGGUAAUGAUUAAGAGGAACAGACGGGGGCAUUCGUAUUGCGACGUUAGAGGUGAAAUUCUUGGAUCGUCGCAAGACGUACUACUGCGAAAGCUUUUGCCAA
rnacentral:rRNA from 1 species